AUAAGAUUAUUUACAGGGGUAAUUAAUAUUCAUAUGCUCUAGUUAUGGUUUAACUAUGAAGUACUUAGCUACAUCACCUAGUAUUAAUUAAGUAUAUAGACAAAGUAGUAUAAUACUUGUUAUAUGUUACAUUCCCACGACUGACAGCCACUUGCAAGUUAAGCUCAGAACUCAACUGAUUGUUCAUUUGUUUUCCAAAAGUUGGGUUCUUUUAGCAUGCAAUGCAUAGAUCCAGUCUUUGCAGAUUCGUUCUAAG
rnacentral:lncRNA from 1 species